UGAGGAAACAUGCACCCUGUUGUUGAGG
rnacentral:piRNA from 1 species